UACAGGGGGGGCAAGCGUUGUUCGGAAUUACUGGGCGUAAAGGGCUCGUAGGUGGCCAACUAAGUCAGACGUGAAAUCCCUCAGCUUAACUGGGGAACUGCGUCUGAUACUGGAUGGCUUGAGUUUGGGAGAGGGAUGCGGAAUUCCAGGUGUAGCGGUGAAAUGCGUAGAUAUCUGGAGGAACACCGGUGGCGAAGGCGGCAUCCUGGACCAACACUGACGCUGAGGAGCGAAAGCGUGGGUAGCAAACAGG
rnacentral:rRNA from 1 species